AUUGAACGCUGGCGGCAUGCUUUUACACAUGCAAGUCGGACGGCAGCACAGAGAAGCUUGCGUUCUUGGGUGGCGAGUGGCGAACGGGUGAGUAACAUAUCGGAACGUACCGAGUAAUGGGGGACAACUGAUCGAAAGAUUAGCUAAUACCGCAUAUUCUCUGAGGAGGAAAGCAGGGGACCUUCGGGCCUUGCGUUAUUCGAGCGGCCGAUAUCUGAUUAGCUAGUUGGUGGGGUAAAGGCCUACCAAGGCGACGAUCAGUAGCGGGUCUGAGAGGAUGAUCCGCCACACUGGGACUGAGACACGGCCCAGACUCCUACGGGAGGCAGCAGUGGGGAAUUUUGGACAAUGGGCGCAAGCCUGAUCCAGCCAUGCCGCGUGUCUGAAGAAGGCCUUCGGGUUGUAAAGGACUUUUGUCAGGGAAGAAAAGGCUGUUGCUAAUAUCGACAGCUGAUGACGGUACCUGAAGAAUAAGCACCGGCUAACUACGUG
rnacentral:rRNA from 1 species